rnacentral:rRNA from 1 species
UAACGUGUUACCCGCGUUCGGACUACGUCGGUACGGCGCACACACUUCUUCCGAGAUCCCAACAUUUCGUGAAAGUCAGCCCUCCUUUCGAACAUCUAAUUAUGAGACGUUCACACUGCAAUGGCUGUCUUCUUCGUGGCCGAUUGAGGCACGGUCGUCGGCGCCAUUAUGCCUCCCACGUUCGCAAUUAGCCUUAAUGACCCGCAUUUCGCGUGCAUCCACCAAGCAAUUCAACCUACACUUUCGGGGCCCGAGUUGGACCCUUGACGUAAGUUUUGACUACUCGAUCUCAUACCAUCUCCACUCACCUUAAAGGACACAUCGCCACUUUACGCAUCUCUACCCUUCCUUGUAGUCACCGCUUCCGCUGAGUGACCUGGUUAUGACUGUGACUCCACGCUUUCGCACCCAUCGUUUGUCCUAAUCUAUGGGACCAUCAGGUGCGGCA